AGGGGGAUGCUCCUGGGAGAGCCGGCGGCCUCCAAAACCGCUCCACAGGGUUCGAAUCCUUGUCCCCCUG
rnacentral:tRNA from 1 species